rnacentral:rRNA from 1 species
UAUGUGGUAGCGAAAUUCCUAGCCUUUUAAUUGGAGGCCUGCAUGAAUGGCUUGACGAGCGCCCUGCUGUCUCUCUUCCCAUGAACUUUUAAAUUAACUUUCGCGUGCAAAGGCGCGAAUGGCUGAGUUAGACGAAAAGACCCUAUGCAUCUUUACUGAGAGAGAAGAAAGUUCUUUAGCUUGGUUUAGCUGGGGCAGCUGAGGAAAAGGCAAAAUUUCCUUAAUAUAAAUCAUACUGGUGGGUUUAGAUCCAGGCUCUUUAGCGGGCUUGACAAGUAGAAAAGUUACGCUAGGGAUAACAGCGUUAUCCUUCUGUGGAGGUCUUAUCUGCAGGAGGGAUUGCGACCUCGAUGUUGAAUUAGGGAUAUACCAGAAAGGCGCAGAAGCUUUUAUUGUGGGUCUGU